rnacentral:rRNA from 1 species
CCUACGGGGGGCAGCAGUGGGGAAUAUUGGACAAUGGGCGAAAGCCUGAUCCAGCCAUGCCGCGUGAGUGAUGAAGGCCCUAGGGUUGUAAAGCUCUUUUGUGCGGGAAGAUAAUGACGGUACCGCAAGAAUAAGCCCCGGCUAACUUCGUGCCAGCAGCCGCGGUAAUACGAAGGGGGCUAGCGUUGCUCGGAAUCACUGGGCGUAAAGGGUGCGUAGGCGGGUUUUUAAGUCAGAGGUGAAAUCCUGGAGCUCAACUCCAGAACUGCCUUUGAUACUGAGAAUCUUGAGUGCGGGAGAGGUGAGUGGAACUGCGAGUGUAGAGGUGAAAUUCGUAGAUAUUCGCAAGAACACCAGUGGCGAAGGCGGCUCACUGGCCCGUAACUGACGCUGAGGCACGAAAGCGUGGGGAGCAAACAGGAUUAGAUACCCCGGUAGUC